rnacentral:rRNA from 1 species
CCUUAACCUGGCCUUGACAUACUAAGAACUUUCCAGAGAUGGAUUGGUGCCUUCGGGAACUUAGAUACAGGUGCUGCAUGGCUGUCGUCAGCUCGUGUCGUGAGAUGUUGGGUUAAGUCCCGCAACGAGCGCAACCUUUUCCUUAUUGCCAGCGGGUUAAGCCGGGAACUUUAAGGAUACUGCCAGUGACAAACUGGAGGAAGGCGGGGACGACGUCAAGUCAUCAUGGCCCUUACGGCCAGGGCUACACACGUGCUACAAUGGUCGGUACAAAGGGUUGCUACCUCGCGAGAGGAUGCUAAUCUCAAAAAGCCGAUCGUAGUCCGGAUCGCAGUCUGCAACUCGACUGCGUGAAGUCGGAAUCGCUAGUAAUCGCGGAUCAGAAUGCCGCGGUGAAUACGUUCCCGGGCCUUGUACACACCGCCCGUCACACCAUGGGAGUUUGUUGCACCAGAAGUAGGUAGUCUAACCGCAAGGAGGACGCUUACCACGGUGUGGCCGAUGACUGGGGUGAAGUCGUAACAAGGUAGGCGUAGAUGA